rnacentral:rRNA from 1 species
AUGCAGCGUGCGUGCCGAACACGUUGCUCGGAUCAGAUCCAAAUGCUCGAUUGUACGAUGGGAGCCGAGACAAAUCUCUCCCCACCGCCGCUGGAGCUGGAGAUUCUAGGCGGCGAGGAUCAGGCCUCCUCCAACUGUGGUGAUAUGUGCAUUGGUGGUUCUCGACCAACCGAGAGUUGUAAUCUGGCGGCAGCCCGUUCCUCAGGAAUUGCAGCACAUAUGGGAGGAUCCGAGCUCUAUGUGGUUAGUUUAUCCUCUAAUCUAAUAGUAGUAUUCAUUGUUCUUUGUUUGGCAAAUUCCUUCGGCGAGUCAUGGGUUAGUUUUAGACAGGGGCUGGAGUAUCAGAACUCCUAUGCUUGA